rnacentral:misc_RNA from 1 species
UCAAAGCUGAGAGCAAG